AGCAGCCGCGGUAAUUCCAGCUCCAAUAGCGUAUAUUAAAGUUGUUGCAGUUAAAAAGACUCGUGGUUGAAUUUCGGGAUCAAUACGUCGGUCGUGCUUCGGUACGUACUGGCGUCAUUGGUUUCUCCCUUCUGGCGAACCAUGAUGUCAUUAACUUGGUGUCAUGGGAAAUCAGGACUGUUACUUUGAAAAAAUUAGAGUGUUUAAAGCAGGCUCACGCUUGAAUACAUUAGCAUGGAAUAAUGAAAUAGGACGUUCGAUCCUAUUUUGUUGGUUUCUAGGAUCAACGUAAUGAUUAAUAGGGAUAGUUGGGGGCAUUAGUAUUCAAUUGUCAGAGGUGAAAUUCUUGGAUUUAUUGAAGACUAACUACUGCGAAAGCAUUUGCCAAGGAUGUUUUCAUUAAUCAAGAACGAAAGUUAGGGGAUCGAAGACGAUCAGAUACCGUCGUAGUCUUAACCAUAAACUAUGCCGACUAGGGAUCGGGAUGAUGUUAAUUUUUAAUGACUCAUUCGGCGCCUUA
rnacentral:rRNA from 1 species